CAGACUCCUACGGGAGGCAGCAGUGGGGAAUAUUGCACAAUGGGCGCAAGCCUGAUGCAGCGACGCCGCGUGGGGGAUGACGGCCUUCGGGUUGUAAACUCCUUUCGCUAGGGACGAAGCUUUUUGUGACGGUACCUAGAUAAGAAGCACCGGCUAACUACGUGCCAGCAGCCGCGGUAAUACGUAGGGUGCGAGCGUUGUCCGGAAUUACUGGGCGUAAAGGGCUCGUAGGUGGUUUGUCGCGUCGUCUGUGAAAUUCCGGGGCUUAACUCCGGGCGUGCAGGCGAUACGGGCAUAACUUGAGUACUGUAGGGGUAACUGGAAUUCCUGGUGUAGCGGUGAAAUGCGCAGAUAUCAGGAGGAACACCGAUGGCGAAGGCAGGUUACUGGGCAGUUACUGACGCUGAGGAGCGAAAGCAUGGGUAGCGAACAGGAUUAGAUACCCUGGUAGUCCAUGCCGUAAACGGUGGGCGCUAGGUGUGAGGGUCUUUUCACGACUUUCGUGCCGUAGCUAACGCAUUAAGCGCCCCGCCUGGGGAGUACGGCCGCAAGGCUAAAACUCAAAGGAAUUGACGGGGGCCCGCACAAGCGGCGGAGCAUGUGGAUUAAUUCGAUGCAACGCGAAGAACCUUACCUGGGCUUGACAUACACCAGAUCGCUGCAGAGAUGUAGUUUCCCUUUGUGGCUGGUGUACAGGUGGUGCAUGGUUGUCGUCAGCUCGUGUCGUGAGAUGUUGGGUUAAGUCCCGCAACGAGCGCAACCCUUGUCUUAUGUUGCCAGCAUUUGGUUGGGGACUCAUGAGAGACUGCCGGGGUCAACUCGGAGGAAGGUGGGGAUGACGUCAAAUCAUCAUGCCCCUUAUGUCCAGGGCUUCACACAUGCUACAAUGGUCGGUACAACGCGCAGCGACACUGUGAGGUGGAGCGAAUCGCUGAAAGCCGGCCUUAGUUCGGAUUGGGGUCUGCAACUCGACCCCAUGAAGUCGGAGUCGCUAGUAAUCGCAGAUCAGCAACGCUGCGGUGAAUACGUUCCCGGGCCUUGUACACACCGCCCGUCACACCAUGGGAG
rnacentral:rRNA from 1 species